rnacentral:rRNA from 1 species
GACGAACGCUGGCGGCGUGCUUAACACAUGCAAGUCGAACGGAAAGGCCCUGCUUUUGUGGGGUGCUCGAGUGGCGAACGGGUGAGUAACACGUGAGUAACCUGCCCUUGACUUUGUGAUAACUUCAGGAAACUGGGGCUAAUACCGGAUAGGAGCUCCUGCUGCAUGGUGGGGGUUGGAAAGUUUCGGCGGUGGGGGAUGGACUCGCGGCUUAUCAGCUUGUUGGUGGGGUAGUGGCUUACCAAGGCUUUGACGGGUAGCCGGCCUGAGAGGGUGACCGGCCACAUUGGGACUGAGAUACGGCCCAGACUCCUACGGGAGGCAGCAGUGGGGAAUAUUGCACAAUGGGCGGAAGCCUGAUGCAGCAACGCCGCGUGCGGGAUGACGGCCUUCGGGUUGUAAACCGCUGUCGACUGUGACGAAGAGUGAGUGACGGUAAUGGGUAAAGAAGCACCGGCUAACUACGUG